AUUGAACGCUGGCGGCAUGCUUUACACAUGCAAGUCGAACGGCAGCGCGGGCUUCGGCCUGGCGGCGAGUGGCGAACGGGUGAGUAAUACAUCGGAACGUGCCCAGUAGUGGGGGAUAGCUCGGCGAAAGCCGGAUUAAUACCGCAUACGACCUGAGGGUGAAAGCGGGGGAUCUUCGGACCUCGCGCUAUUGGAGCGGCCGAUGGCAGAUUAGCUAGUUGGUGGGGUAAAGGCCUACCAAGGCGACGAUCUGUAGCUGGUCUGAGAGGACGACCAGCCACACUGGGACUGAGACACGGCCCAGACUCCUACGGGAGGCAGCAGUGGGGAAUUUUGGACAAUGGGCGAAAGCCUGAGCCAGCAAUGCCGCGUGUGUGAUGAAGGCCUUCGGGUUGUAAAGCACUUUUGGCGGGAACGAAAAGGACUGUGCCAAUACCACGGUUCGAUGACGGUACCCGCAGAAUAAGCACCGGCUAACUACGU
rnacentral:rRNA from 1 species